rnacentral:tRNA from 1 species
UCGCGGGGUGUAGCAGUGGUAGCUUUUCACUUUGACUUGGUGAAGGUCGGUUGUUCGAUUCAGCCCCCCGCAACUAU